AGUUGAUUUGAUAUCAGUUUUAAUCAUAAAGGGUCAGGGCAUAUUUUCAUACAUUUUUGUGCAAAAAUUCAGCCUCUAAACCAAAAGGUUUUUGUUUUGUUUUUCACAUGUAUAUUUACAAAAUUCCCCUUGCAUAAAUUAAAGAAAAUGCUGGUUAUUUUAAGUUAAACAAUUAUUGAAAUGCAGUCAACAUUCUAUGAAAUAAUUAUCUGCAUUUAUUUUUAAAUAAGGAUAUCUAUAAAUUAAAAUUAGCCACCUGUCCAAGUUUUAAGUAUACAAAUAUGCCGCUGGAGUAAGAAUAUGCCCUGAAGAUAUUUAUUCAUUAUACCCCCGUGAUGAUUGGGGUAUAUAGGAAUCACCUUGGAUGGAUGUCUGUCGGUCUUUGUAAAUGUCUGUGGCCUGUGGGUGUUCACUUACAAUUCAACGUUCACCAUUCAAACUUUCAGGUAUUUUCAUUCUCAUAUGAGGUUGUGCAUCUACAUUUUGUAUCAUAUUUCACUGAAAAUUACAACACUUAGACAAUCUAUAAAAUCAUGCUACGUAUUAUGACUUGCAGAAUUGGAUGAUAGUUUACGUCACAAUGGUUACAACUUUUUGUUUGACUAGAAGGCAAUGAUACCUUUUUAGUUUAUAGUAUUUUUAUACAGAUUAGAAGAUGUAGUUUCUUCUAACAAUUAAAAAAAAACAUAUUUUGCUUUGGAAUAUGGUCAGCCACAUAACUUGUUAAUUGAAUGGUCAUGAAAUAAUUGUUAUGUCCAUUCUCUCAAUGAUUAAAGUAUGGCAGUUGUCAGUUACUGGCAUAAGUAUAUGCACUAAGUUGAUCCAGGAAAAGGUUAAUUUAAUGACCACACUGCUACGACUAAAAAGCAUUUUUAUUUGUGUAGAGGUCUAUUAAAAUCUGAUAAAAGUCCUGGAUUUUCUAGAUUUUCCAGUUCCUGCAGGACCCCAUACAAUCACACAUCUUUACACAGCUGAACAACAACAGGCUGUCUGGUCAGUUGGGCCCCCACAUCCAAGGACAAUGCCUUGGUAAAGGUGUCAAGCUCUUGGGUCAGGAAUUUUGGGCAAAGCUCCUACCCCCAGGGUACAGCCAGUCUAACCAUGGGACUCCAAACUUCCCUGCUUAGAGGCCAAGACCACCUCAUCUACAAGGGGCCUUUCCCUCACAAGUUCAGGCCCAGAGAACAAUGUUACCCAACUCCAGCUCAGGCACUACAUCUCAACAGGUCCUCAGUCUCUCUUGCAACAACUAAAGCUGAAGUUGAAGUGUGAAAGAGAGAAAGAGUUGACAUGAAAUUGCUGCUUCAGCCUUAAUUGGAACAUCAGCAGCACCAGCAACAACAACACUUAAAAUUCAGCAAUCAACAGUUCGAUUGACGAAGGCUUUCAAAUGAAAACAUGUCAAUUUACAAAGCACCCUUCCCUGAAAAUCUGGCCAAGCCUAUAAACAAUGUGAAUGCAUCAACGUGACCCUUCAGAGAAACAGGAUUCCAGGCCGAAUGUCAAACCGUCUGGGCUCCAGCAGCAGCCUCAGCCGUGGGGGUCAGGUUCAUGAUGCACCUAUGCUCUCAAUGCUCUCUGAACAUCUUAAUCUCACAGCAACAGUGGAUAACAUGACCUUCAAGUUGGGGAUGGUUGAGGGUCUCCCAAAACCACCCAGUGCCUUGCGAUGAAAACCUCCAACGGGACUGUGACCUUGCCCUGGGACUCACCUAAUGGUCAGGUUCAAGGUCACAUGGGCUUAGAUAGUCACUGCAGUAAAAAAGUGUAUGGUUUUAAAGUAAAGAAGAUUAUUUCACAAUAUGACAUCCGAGACUGCAGGGACGAAAUGACUCAUGUCAGCAGAGGAAGCCAAGACACAAUACGAGAAUUUCCAGCGGCUUACCUGCUUAAAACCUGGGUAGCGGAGCAAUGAGUAUGUCCCAGGAGCAUUUGCAGUCACAGCAAGUGAACCAGCGGCAGUCAUCGUCUCCAGAUUACGAGAUCCCCAUGUUUCACAACCCUCAGUGUAUGAACAUCAUGCAGAGCGAACCUUGGACGUCCAUUGACGAAAUCAAACCGGCAAAUCAGAAGGACAGCCUGUUGCUACAGUUGUUAUCAUAUUAACCCCAGUCAUACCGAAGAAGCUCAGAGCUAUAAAUGCUGUUUAAGAUGUGCUUGUCUCUGCAUACUCCAUGUCUGGUGUGAACAUAUACAAUUGAAGGUCUCUACAUACACCAUGUCUGGUGUGAACAUGUACAAUUGAAUGUCUCUACAUACACCAUGUCUGGUGUGAACAUGUACAAUUGAAGGUCUCUACAUACACCAUGUCUGGUGUGAACAUGUACAAUUGAAGGUCUCUGCAUACCCCAUGUCUGGUGUGAACAUGUACAAUUGAAUGUCUCUAUAUACCCCAUGUCUGGUGUGAACAUGUACAAUUGAAGGUCUCUGCAUACCCCAUGUCUGGUGUGAACAUGUACAAUUGAAGGUCUCUAUAUACCCCAUGUCUGGUGUGAGCAUGUACAAUUGAAGGUCUCUGCAUACCCCAUGCCUGGUGUGAACAUGAACAAUUGAAGGUCUCUACAUACUCUAUUUCUGGUGUGAACAUGUACAAUUGAUGGUCUCUACAUACUCCAUGUCUGGUGUGAACAUGUACAACUGAAGAUCUCUACAUACCCCAUGUCUGGUGUGAACAUGUACAAAUUAAUGUCUCUAUAUACCCCAUGUCUGGUGUGAACAUGUACAAUUGAAGGUCUCUACAUACCACAUGUCUGGUGUGAACAUGUACAAAUAAAGGUCUGUACAUACCCCAUGUCUGGUAUGAACAUGUACAAUUGAAGGUCUCUGCAUACCCCAUGUGGGGUGUGAACAUAUACAAUUGAAGGUCUCUACAUACUCCAUGUCUGGUGCGAACAUGUACAAUUGAAGGUCUCUACAUACCCCAUGUCUGGUGAGAACAUGUACAACUGAAGAUCUCUACAUACCCCAUGUCUGGUGUGAACAUGUACAAUUGAAUGUCUCUAUAUAGCCCAUGUCAGGUGUGAACAUGUACAAUUGAAGGUCUCAUCUUUGAAAUUGGGACAGGUGGAAAAUUAAUGAAUUGAUGCAGACAGAAGUCGCAUAAUGACAAAUCACAACAAAACGUGGAAAUCAAGACAGUCUUGUGGCCAGCCAUGUUUUCAUGUGACCAUCCAAGUUGUGUUCAAAGAAAACAAUAUUUCUUUUUUAUUGGAACUAUGAUGCUGAUAGUCAUUUUAUGUAAAAGGCUUUUAUGAACUAUAUUUAAAUACUCAAUAUAAUAAGAUUAAGAUUACUUGAUAAAAGCAAUAAUGAGCAAUAUUAUUUUAAGACAAAAUUAGCAAGUCUAUCCAAUUACAUUGCCUGUAUUAGGAAAUUUUAUUUUGGAAAUGUUAAGGAAAAUAUAAUGUUUCUAAAUAUAUGUCUAUGAAUAUUGAUUUUAACAUUUGUCAAAGCUGUUUAAAUGAUGCUGGUAACUUUGACAAAAUUGAAAGAAAAUGUAUUCUUUUCAUGUAAUGAGACAUGCUUCAGUUUUUUUAUUGGCUUAACAUGUAAUAUAGAGGUGGUAGUUACACACAUUGUUUAGACAGGUGGAUAAUUUUAAUGCUAAGGCUUUGAUACUCUUAAGUGUGCCCAUUGGUGUCAGGUGUUUUUGUCAAGCAUCUUGUUUAUUUUCUUAGUAUUUCAAGACAAUAUUGAUUAAUUUUAGACAAAAUCAUUUAAUCUUCCUUAAAUUGUCUAUUCUGUAUUUACUACCAGUUAUUUAUUAAUUUGCUUGAACAUGAUUUAAGAAUGACUUUUUUGUUACUUAAAAUGCUUUAUAUGUUUUAAAACUGAGCAUUUAAAAACGAAAAUAUAGGAUGUGGGAAUAAUGUCUAAAGUUAUGAUAAUUAUUUUUUGUUUUUGUAAAGUUAAUUAUGCCUUAUAUGUUUGUGUAUAGACAUUUAGACGACCAGAUUAACCUGACCAAGAAUUCUUGAUCAAUGUGUAUAUCGGUCAGUUCAUUUGUCACUUGUAUAUAGAGCGAUUGCGAAAUGAUUGUAUUGUUAAUGAAAAUCAUGCGUUUAUUGUUGCCAUUUUGAUUUUCGCUGUUAACAUGUAUUUGUACAAACAAUUUUCAUCAUGUACAUCUUUUAGAUGCCAGAUAAUAAAAACAAACAUUGCUUGUGGAGAUGCUCAUUUAAAACUUUCUUAAUGAUACAGAACAACACAUUCUGAAGAGGCUAAUAAAUUAUGCUUUAGGCAAAAGGAACAUCUUGUUACUAGUAUAUGUACUGCUUUUCAUUAAAUAAAGUCAAGCAACUAUUGAAA